UGGGUGUCUUGAGUACAGUAGAGGCAGGCGGAAUUCGUGGUGUAGCGGUGAAAUGCUUAGAUAUCACGAAGAACUCCGAUUGCGAAGGCAGCCUGCUAAGCUGCAACUGACAUUGAGGCUCGAAAGUGUGGGUAUCAAACAGGAUUAGAUACCCUGGUAGUCCACACGGUAAACGAUGAAUACUCGCUGUUUGCGAUAUACAGUAAGCGGCCAAGCGAAAGCGUUAAGUAUUCCACCUGGGGAGUACGCCGGCAACGGUGAAACUCAAAGGAAUUGACGGGGGCCCGCACAAGCGGAGGAACAUGUGGUUUAAUUCGAUGAUACGCGAGGAACCUUACCCGGGCUUGAACUGCAGACGACGGCGUCGGAGACGGCGCUUCCCUUCGGGGCGUCUGCGGAGGUGCUGCAUGGUUGUCGUCAGCUCGUGCCGUGAGGUGUCGGCUUAAGUGCCAUAACGAGCGCAACCCCCCUCCACGGUUGCCAUCGGGUGACGCCGGGCACUCCGUGGACACUGCCGCCGCAAGGUGCGAGGAAGGCGGGGAUGACGUCAAAUCAGCACGGCCCUUACGUCCGGGGCUACACACGUGUUACAAUGGCCGGCACAGCGAGCCGGUCGGCGGCGACGCCGAUCCAAUCCUGAAAACCGGCCUCAGUUCGGACUGGGGUCUGCAACCCGACCCCACGAAGCUGGAUUCGCUAGUAAUCGCGCAUCAGCCAUGGCGCGGUGAAUACGUUCCCGGGCCUUGUACACACCGCCCGUCAAGCCAUGAAAGCCGGGGGCGCCUGAAGUCCGUGACCGCGAGGGUCGGCCUAGGGCGAUACCGGUGAUUGGGGCUAAGUCGUAACAAGGUAGCCGUACCGGAAGGUGCGGCUG
rnacentral:rRNA from 1 species